CCUACGGGGUGCAGCAGUGAGGAAUAUUGGUCAAUGGACGAGCGUCUGAACCAGCCCAGUAGCGUGAAGGAUGACUGCCCUAUGGGUUGUAAACUUCUUUUAUAAAGGUAUAAAACGAGGCACGUGUUCCUUUUUGCAUGUACUUUAUGAAUAAGGAUCUGCUAACUCCUUGCCAGCAGCCUCGGUAAUACUGAGGAUCCGAGCGUUCUCCGGAUUUCUUGGGUUUAAAGGGAGCGUAGAUGGGUUGAUAAGUCAGUUGUGAAAGUUUGCGGCUCAACCGUAAAAUUGCAAUUGAUACUGGCCGUCUAGAGUACAGUUGAGGUAGGCGGAAUUCGUGGUGUAGCGGUGAAAUGCUUAGAUAUCACGAAGAAACCCGAUUGCGAAGGCAGCUUACUAAACUGUGACUGACAUUGAUGCUCGAAAGUGUGGGUAUCAAACAGGAUUAGAUACCCUGGUAGUC
rnacentral:rRNA from 1 species